rnacentral:snoRNA from 1 species
UUUCGUGAUGACAAAGGGCCAUGUGGCCCGAAUAAUCCCAGCUCGUCGAAUGCCUCAAUAUAAACGCAGAGAGCAUGCUGAGAUACAAACCCCGUUCUGAUCC